UACGUAGGGGGCUAGCGUUGUCCGGAAUCAUUGGGCGUAAAGCGCGCGUAGGCGGACCUGCAAGUCGGGGAUGAAAGCCCGAGGCUCAACCUCGGAACUGCCUUCGAUACUGCGGGUCUCGAGUCCGGGAGAGGUGAGUGGAAUUCCUAGUGUAGAGGUGAAAUUCGUAGAUAUUAGGAAGAACACCAGUGGCGAAGGCGGCUCACUGGCCCGGUACUGACGCUGAGGCGCGAAAGCGUGGGGAGCAAACAGG
rnacentral:rRNA from 1 species